UACGUAGGGGGCUAGCGUUGUCCGGAAUCAUUGGGCGUAAAGCGCGUGUAGGCGGUCCGGUAAGUCCGCUGUGAAAGUCGGGGGCUCAACCCUCGAAUGCCGGUGGAUACUGUCGGGCUAGAGUACGGAAGAGGCGAGUGGAAUUCCUGGUGUAGCGGUGAAAUGCGCAGAUAUCAGGAGGAACACCAAUUGCGAAGGCAGCUCGCUGGGACGUUACUGACGCUGAGACGCGAAAGCGUGGGGGAGCAAACAGG
rnacentral:rRNA from 1 species